rnacentral:rRNA from 1 species
CGUGGAUAACCUGCCGUGCACAGGGGGAUAACACUUAGAAAUAGGUGCUAAUACCGCAUAAGCGCACAGUUUCGCAUGAGACAGUGUGAAAAGCCUGGAAGCGAUUCCGGGCGGUGCAUGAUGGAUCCGCGUCCGAUUAGCUAGUUGGCGGGGUAAAGGCCCACCAAGGCAGCGAUCGGUAGCCGGCCUGAGAGGGUGGACGGCCACAUUGGGACUGAGACACGGCCCAAACUCCUACGGGAGGCAGCAG